UGAGCCUUUCUCUCUUAGCU
rnacentral:miRNA from 1 species